GAUCCUGUAGCUCAGCUGGUAGAGCACGACACUUUUAAUGUCGGGGUCCUGGGUUCGAGCCCCAGCGGGAUCACCA
rnacentral:tRNA from 1 species